GUUUUCUCCGGCGACCACAAAUGGUGGGCUUCCAAAAUCUCCGACUUGCCCACCGGCUCACCGGCUAUGUUUCACGCUCUACAUGCGAGUUAUUGCUGAAAAUUGGUUGUAGAGGUUAUUGCACGGAGAUAUCGAAUCGAGUUAGGAAUUUGUUUCCUUUGAAUUAUAUCAGUGCCCCAUUAGCUUGUAUCCCGAGGACAUCAUACACAGACUUGUUGCGAUAUUCUUCUACACAGGGCCUGAGGCAUGAACAAUUUUGUACUACUGCAGGAAAUG
rnacentral:misc_RNA from 1 species